CCUAGGGGCGGCAGCAGUGGGGAAUAUUGGACAAUGGGCGAAAGCCUGAUCCAGCCAUGCCGCGUGUGUGAAGAAGGCCUUCGGGUUGUAAAGCACUUUCAGUGGGGAAGAAAGCCUUGGGGCUAAUACCCUCGAGGAAGGACAUCACCCACAGAAGAAGCACCGGCUAACUCCGUGCCAGCAGCCGCGGUAAUACGGAGGGUGCGAGCGUUAAUCGGAAUUACUGGGCGUAAAGCGCGCGUAGGCGGUCUGAUAAGCCGGUUGUGAAAGCCCCGGGCUCAACCUGGGAACGGCAUCCGGAACUGUCAGGCUAGAGUGCAGGAGAGGAAGGUAGAAUUCCCGGUGUAGCGGUGAAAUGCGUAGAGAUCGGGAGGAAUACCAGUGGCGAAGGCGGCCUUCUGGACUGACACUGACGCUGAGGUGCGAAAGCGUGGGUAGCAAACAGGAUUAGAUACCCUAGUAGUC
rnacentral:rRNA from 1 species